UCCAGCUGAAGUCAAACUUCUAAGGGUCUGCCAAGAAAGCGACCUGCUGGAGUCGUGAGCCACUGCUUUCUCUAUGAUGGAAGCCCUUGAGGUCUGAUGGCCAGAAAAGGUCCAGCUGUCCAUCAGGGACACCACAGCGUCCACUAGUGACAUGACCGCGGGAUAGACGCCUCCUGUUUCGCCUGUUGUGCAACAUCAGUAUAGAUUUGCCUGUGUCAUAGGCUUUACCAACCUACAGAUGAACACUUCCCAGGCAAAGUUACCUGAUACAUCUCCAGGAGAUACGCCCGUCCUUCCAAUGUUGGUCAGUAAAUGAUCUAUGUUUGGCACUGGCUGAGAUUCUACAGUGUUUUCCUCCUGAACUGUUGUCUAUGGUUAAUAAACAAAGAUCCCUUCAACA